rnacentral:rRNA from 1 species
UACGAAGGGGGCUAGCGUUGCUCGGAAUCACUGGGCGUAAAGGGUGCGUAGGCGGGUCUUUAAGUCAGGGGUGAAAUCCUGGAGCUCAACUCCAGAACUGCCUUUGAUACUGAAGAUCUUGAGUUCGGGAGAGGUGAGUGGAACUGCGAGUGUAGAGGUGAAAUUCGUAGAUAUUCGCAAGAACACCAGUGGCGAAGGCGGAGCUC